GUGGUUUACCAAAUACUUUUUACACUUGCUUAAUUAAACGUAUUUAAAGUAUACUACUCUGAUUGGAGUACAGUUUUGGGGUACUCGAACCGACCUCUAUGUAUGAACGGUUGUUCUAUGGAUAAUUUUUUAAAGACAAAAAACACCGCCAUAAAAUAUUAAAUAUCACUGCAGCGACCAUCCCACCCUGAGAGAGUCGGGUGACGUGCGCCGUAGUGGGCGCCCCUUAUUUAGAUUUCUGAAAGGUGGCAACCCUGCUAUGCCGCCAAGAAAAAUAAUAAAGUGAGGUUUUAAAAAAAAUGGAGAGAUAGAGAGAAAAGGAAUGUUCUCUAUUCUCAAUUUACAACCCAGUUCUUCUCCAAGAGGUGGGUACUGUUAGGUUGGAGUUGUUUUCUGUUUUGGUUUUUCUUCUUUUUCUCUUUGUGUUCUGCUCUGGUUUCCUGGGAAGCUGCUACUUCCCCUCAAUAGCCGCCAGAUGCCACCACUGGGCGGAGCCCCUGGAGAAGUGCGGCAGCCAACCUAUAGACACACCUGUGUCUAAUCUACGAGAGCUGCUGAGGUGCUUCAUAAGGAACGACUGGCUGAUACUCCAGUGCCUGAGUGUUUGCCUCAACUGGUUUCCUCGUUGUUCCCCUGAGACUCCUUGUGGUGGACGUUUGUUCCCGUCUGGAAAUUCCCCUGUGUUUCCUCAUGACGCCAUUGGUGUUACCAAUUGGUUGCCAUCCUCGUGCACUCGCCUCCCUGGUCCUUUCCGUGGAUUCCCUUUGUUUCGCCUCAGGUUGUGCCUGCUGGCAGUAGAAGAUCCGGGAGCUAGCCAUCUGGACCCCGCUCUGAUGUCAGCUCGCUCCUUUCAUCCAUUCACAAAACUUAUCUGCUCGCUCUCCAACGGAAACCCGCUUCUCCGGCUGCCGCCACAGAGAAUCUCACUCCGCCUUCAAGCAAACCAACGUAUGAAAUGGAUGAGCUCAAUCCUGACUGGGUUCCAGUGCUGAAUAUGGGUCACUGCGAGGUAAACGCCACAACGUGCGUCAAUUAAAGAGGCGAUAUAGCAAAACCAUGGUGGAUCAACAAGUUACAGAGACUGUUUUCAUUAUUUACCCCAGAAGAGGUAAAUAAUGAAAACAGAACAGCGGAGGCAACAGAAGAGGAGCAA